rnacentral:tRNA from 1 species
GGUAGAGCAUCGUUUCCGGUGAAGCGCUUGGCCUUCAAAGCUGAUGAGCUGCUGUUAAAGUGGCUGGUGGGUUCGACUCCUACCUCUACCGCCA